CCCCUCUAAGGUUCGCACCUGGAGAGUUUCCAGUACUCCACCAGUCUAUGAGAGGGUGAGUCAAGCAGAGGCCUACCCAUUCCAUUCCUAGCUUGGGCAGUGGCUAGCGAGUGGAAGGCAAUCUGCCACAAGU